rnacentral:rRNA from 1 species
AGUGAACGCUGGCGGUAGCCCUAACACAUGCAAGUCGAACGGCAGCACAGUAAGAGCUUGCUCUUACGGGUGGCGAGUGGCGGACGGGUGAGGAAUACAUCGGAAUCUACUUUUUCGUGGGGGAUAACGUAGGGAAACUUACGCUAUAACGCAUACGACCUACGGGUGAAAGCAGGGGAUCUUCGGACCUUGCGCGAUUGAAUGAGCCGAUGUCGGAUUAGCUAGUUGGCGGGGUAAAGGCCCACCAAGGCGACGAUCCGUAGCUGGUCUGAGAGGAUGAUCAGCCACACUGGAACUGAGACACGGUCCAGACUCCUACGGGAGGCAGCAGUGGGGAAUAUUGGACAAUGGGCGCAAGCCUGAUCCAGCCAUACCGCGUGGGUGAAGAAGGCCUUCGGGUUGUAAAGCCCUUUUGUUGGGAAAGAAAAGCAGCAGGUUAAUACCCCGCUGUUCUGACGGUACCCAAAGAAUAAGCACCGGCUAACUUCGUG